UGGGGGAUAUUGCACAAUGGGCGAAAGCCUGAUGCAGCGACGCCGCGUGGGGGAUGAAGGCCUUCGGGUUGUAAACUUCUUUUGCUCUGAACAAGGCGCACCAUGGGGUGUGUUGAGUGUAGGGGUUGAUUAGCGCCGGCUAACUACGUGCCAGCAGCCGCGGUAAUACGUAGGGCGCGAGCGUUGUCCGGAAUUAUUGGGCGUAAAGGGCUUGGAGGUGGCUGGUUGCGUCUGUCGUGAAAGCUCAUGGCUUAACUGUGGGUUUGCGGUGGGGACGGGCUGGCUUGAGUGCAGUAGGGGAGGCUGGAAUUCCUGGUGUAGCGGUGGAAUGCGCAGAUAUCAGGAGGAAUACCGGUGGCGAAGGCGGGGCUCUGGGCUGUUACUGACACUGAGGAGCGAAAGCAUGGGGAGCGAACAGG
rnacentral:rRNA from 1 species